rnacentral:misc_RNA from 1 species
UCUCUCUCUUUCUCUCUCGUGCCCCUUGGUUAGGGAUGGUCCCCUUCUCUAGCUCAAAGCAGGUCUACCCUCAUGACCCUUCGAGUAGGGCUAUAGAUAGUUUUGCAUUGGUUUUGUUUGCUUGUAGGUGGGCAGCUCAUUAGGGAGGGCUAUCUUAUACCUUACCUGUAAUGGAACAUGUAAUGGCUUUGGUUCCAAGUUUAGUGAUGGUAGGGCUCUCUUGCUGUGGCUGCUAAUUUACUAGUGUGUUGGGUUGGGUUGGGUUGGUGACUAUUUUCUUUUGGCCCAAGAUUUGCUGGGAUUGUAGGGUCCUCCAUUUAGUCUACGUGGUACCUCUUGGGGAUGCUAUCAAUGCCACUAUCUUGGGCAUCCGGUCUUUUAAUGGCCAGAGAUGCAAAAGAGUCUUGUCUUGCACUCCUAUGCUCCCCUUAGCUUGGAUCUGUUAUGAUACAAAUUCUGGGCCAGAUCAAUACUAGGACUUGGGUCAGCAUAAGGCCCCCAAAGUCCGUAGUAAGCUUAUUAUUCUCUAGCCCAAUUUUAAAACUCAUAUCCAAGCCCAUUUUCAAGAAAUUAACUGGACAGAGUCUAGCCAUAAACUGGACUUUACAAUAGGAAGUUUUUAGCUCGCUCGACCUGUGAUCCCAUUAUAUAUAAAUAUGGGAAGCUCAGCUCACCCUCACAAUCUACAAUCAAUCAGUUUAAUCAAAUGGGAGCUUAGUUCCUUAUCCAACACAUAUAUCUAUUCCAUUCAACCAUACACACAUGAUAUUAAGUUUACAACCUCAAUUAAUAAUCUUUUACAGCCCCAAAUCAAUAAAAUGUUUCUAGCAUAUGUGGAGUUCUAAAAUUUAAAUCAAUAACAUAACAUAAGUAUAAAUACAAUGACUAGUAGACCUGUAAAGUGGCAUUCUAGGAAAAUUUACAAUAUAAAAAAGAGCAGAUAGCCUUAUAUAAUUGUGGUAAUGCGAUAGAUAUAGUACCUCUCUUGCAGUCAGUUAUGCUGCAGAGUAUGAUAAUAUUUUCUCAGGAGAGACAGAAGAGUAUCACUAAUAUAAUGAUCUAUGGAAUGAUGUCCUAAAUGGGACUAUAGUGUGAUAGGAAAUAGUCAGCUCAGGUACCCUCUUAGGGAGAGUACAAUUUUCAUUGUAAGGAUCAUAAGAGAUCAGAUCAUAAUGGAUGCAGAGCUUUUGAGAAGCAAGGGAAAAAGGAAAUCCCAUAGAUUCCCUACCUAAGGUAUUAGGGGGUAGUUGUAGCUAAGCAGAGGAAAGGACAAUGACUGCAAGUCAACGAGAAUAAGUCAUAGAAUGUCAAUAGAUAAAAGGAGUUAUAGAAAUGAAAAUUUGGAUAGUUGGUUUCAGAUGUAACAAGAAAGAAAUUCGAAUGGCAGUGGAAAUGCUAAUCAGAGUGGUCGAAAGAUCAAUUUUGAGCAAUACAAAGAUGAAGAUGACCUAGCAGAGACACUAAAAGGUACAGUUAUCUAGCAUAGCUGUCAAGUCAAGAAGAAGAAUGGAGCUGAGGAAUAAAGUAAUCAAAGUUCUAUUUUGGGUAAGAUAAAAGAGAUGAAUUAAAGAGCAAACCGAAUAGCCAAGAAUAGGAAAAGAUUACGAAGAAAAAAGUGAGAUAUAAAGUACAUAAAGUGCCAUCUUGGGAACAGGAAUAGACAAAGUUUUAUCCAUAUCUUGCAACUCUGAACUCUAUGUUUUGGCUCCUGACACUGCCCGAACUAUGACUUGCUCCAAGUCCUAUACUUCUAGAUC